CUUCUUUUAAAUUGUUGCUGAUAUUAUAAGAUCAACAAGUAGUAAAAUAUUCAUAUCCGAUACGCGUUUUGAUACACUCGUUUUAUCUCUUAUUCUUUAUUAUUUUCAGUAUUUUAUAAUUCUCGUGUUUGUUUUAUUUUUUAUUUGUAUGAUGUCGUCUAGUAAAGGUAUGUUUCAUAAGGGAGGGCGUAAGAAUAAAGGUAAGACACCUAGCUCUGUUAAUCAAAAACUUCCUCGUAAGUCUGAAGACGAUUCUUCAGAAAAUAGCGAUGCAUAAGUAGAACAUUGUGCGCAUAAAAAUAAUCAUGAAAGUAUAUCGAGUGAGGAGAACGAAGAGUAGGAGGAAGAGUGUGACGUUUCUAGUGAGGAACAAUUUAUUGAUGAUUCGAUUAAUGAGAAAUUACUUAGUAAUAAAAAGAGAGGUAAAAUAGAAAUGGUAAAAUCAGUUGGUAGUCAAUAUUUACGUUAUGACUUUACUUCUUAUAAAAAUUUUACUAUAUAUAUUAAUAGAAUAUACACUGAUCCUUUUAAUGGUAUUCCUAGAGUUACUUGUAAAAAUGAUGUUCUCAAUUUUUAUUAUAUACAAUAUCAAUGAUAUUUAUGUUAUUUAUUUUCGAAACUUGAUUGUAGAGUCUCUCUUACACUUGAUAUUGUUCGCAAUGUUCGUAACUUAGAUUAUUUACUAGUUACAUGUCAUUGCAUAGAUAGUAAUUGGGUAAUGAAAAAACGUGUUAUAGCUUGUCGUUUUAUUGAAGAUAAACAUAAUGGUCCUUUUAUUGCUAUAUUUAUUCAUGAUAUUUUAAUAUCGUACGGUCUUAGAAAUAAGAUUAUGUGUAUUUGUUUUAGUAAUGCUUUUAACGAUACUAAUUUUCAUGAAAAAUUAGAAAUACAAUCUGUACCACCUUUAAAUGAAAAUUUUCAUAUUAAAUGUAUAUGUGAUUUUUUGAAUUUAGUUGUACAUGAGAUCAUUGAUUUUUUUAGUUCUUAUAUUACUAAAAUUAGAGGGGCAAUUUUAUUUAUUUUUCAAAAUAAUUCAAAAACAAGAAUUGAAGAAUUUAGGAAAAAUUGUAGUAAUAUUUAUAACCUUAUUCCAAAAAAAAAUACCUAUAGAUAUUGCUGCAAUGUGGAAUUCUUUAUAUGUUAUGUUAAAUGUUGCAUAUAAAUAUAGGGAGCCUAUAUCUGAUACAUAUAAUAAUUAUACUGAAAAUUCUGCUAAUUUUUUAAUUGAUUCAGAUUGGGAUGUUGUUAAAUAUAUUGUCAAAAUUUUAUCAAAAUUUUAUCACGCUGCUAUAGAAUUUUCUAGUAACUGUAAUCCCACUGUUAGUAGUGUUUUAAUUUUUAUAGUUGACAUUACUUUUUUACUUUUAAAAUCAAAAUAUAAGGAUAAUGAAAUUUUAAAAGAUGUUAUUAUUGCAAUAAAGGAAAAAAUCAAAAAAUAUUUUAUUCCUAUGCCCACUAUUUUUCAAAUUGGUGCUGUAUUAAAUCCUGCUUUAAUACAACAUUUAGAAGAAUUUACAAAAUUAUUUUAUGAAUUUUUAGAAAUUGGUGAGGGAGAAAAACCAGAUUUGGAAACAGCUAAAUCUAGUUUAUUUUCAAAUAGACAAGCAUUAUAUGAUUAUUAUAAAUCAAUUAGUCCAAAACCUUCUAAAAAAACAAAUCAUAUAGAAAGUUUAAUAGAUGAUUUAAUAAGCAAAUCUCAAAAUGAGUUUAAUGAGUUAAAUUUUUAUUCAACGCAGUCUAUGCACAGUAAAACUAGUAUUUUGGAAUGGUGGAAGGCAAAAUCAACAUGGUUUCCUAUUGUUUCGAAAAUGACUCGAGAUGUGCUAAGUGUUCCAGUUGUAUCAAUCGUGGUGUUAGAAUAUGCUUUUAGUCGAGAAAAGAUGCAAAUUGGUGAUGACAACAACCACUCGGUGUCUGGGCCAGGGUUGGAAGUGUUGGUAUGUUUGAAAGAUUGGAUUAAAGCAUAGAGAAGAAUUCAAGGCGUAGAAGAAAAGCAAUUAGAAAUGAUGAAUUUGAAGAUGUUAUAAUAAUGUUGACUGAUCAAAAGGAGGAAAG
rnacentral:lncRNA from 1 species